rnacentral:precursor_RNA from 16 species
UCUCUCAGCAACAGUCGGGUGUGACGGGUGUUUCCACAGCCUCUACACAUGUGGGCAUGUCCACAGCGCAUGUGCAUUAGCUGUGGGAUCCCUCUGUACACCGUUAUACAACUGUUACAGC